rnacentral:rRNA from 1 species
GACGAACGCUGGCGGCGUGCUUAACACAUGCAAGUCGAACGGGAGGAAAAGAGAAGCUUGCUUCUUUUGAAUCUAGUGGCAAACGGUGAGUAACACGUAAACAACCUGCCUUCAGGAUGGGGACAACAGACGGAAACGACUGCUAAUACCGAAUGUGUUCCGGAGACCGCAUGAUUUCCGGAAGAAAGGAUGGCCUCUAUUUAUAAGCUAUCGCCUGAAGAGGGGUUUGCGUCUGAUUAGGCAGUUGGUGAGGUAACGGCCCACCAAACCUACGAUCAGUAGCCGGUCUGAGAGGAUGAACGGCCACACUGGAACUGAGACACGGUCCAGACUCCUACGGGAGGCAGCAGUGGGGAAUCUUCCGCAAUGGACGAAAGUCUGACGGAGCAACGCCGCGUGAGUGAUGACGGCC